GUAUGCUAAUACGAGAUAAUAUACUUUUAUCGCAUGGUAGAAGUAUCAAAGCUCCGGCGGUACAGGAUGGACCCGCGUCUGAUUAGCUAGUUGGUAAGGUAACGGCUUACCAAGGCGACGAUCAGUAGCCGACCUGAGAGGGUGAUCGGCCACAUUGGAACUGAGACACGGUCCAAACUCCUACGGGAGGCAGCAGUGGGGAAUAUUGCACAAUGGGCGAAAGCCUGAUGCAGCAACGCCGCGUGAGCGAUGAAGGCCUUCGGGUCGUAAAGCUCUGUCCUCAAGGAAGAUAAUGACGGUACUUGAGGAGGAAGCCCCGGCUAACUACGUGCCAGCAGCCGCGGUAAUACGUAGGGGGCUAGCGUUAUCCGGAAUUACUGGGCGUAAAGGGUGCGUAGGUGGUUUCUUAAGUCAGAGGUGAAAGGCUACGGCUCAACCGUAGUAAGCCUUUGAAACUGGGAAACUUGAGUGCAGGAGAGGAGAGUGGAAUUCCUAGUGUAGCGGUGAAAUGCGUAGAUAUUAGGAGGAACACCAGUUGCGAAGGCGGCUCUCUGGACUGUAACUGACACUGAGGCACGAAAGCGUGGGGAGCAAACAGGAUUAGAUACCCUGGUAGUCCACGCCGUAAACGAUGAGUACUAGCUGUCGGAGGUUACCCCCUUCGGUGGCGCAGCUAACGCAUUAAGU
rnacentral:rRNA from 1 species